AUCUCCCACACUGGAUUCCACCUGAUAACUCACAUCUGGAAGCACCAAAUCUAGAGGACAAGAUAUUACACGAGUUGACAGAUUAAGGUACGACAGCAACCUUCUGAACAAGUCAUUACAAGACGGAGGCCUACUGACUAUCUCUAGAGGACCAGGAAGAGAGAAGGCAGUAGAAGAAAUGAGAGGAAAACCAGCAUUAACAGGGUACACAUGAAGAAUUAAGUGUGAAGAUUAAAAUCCUCUCCCGUAGGCACAAUGAAAAGUCCCAGCAGAACAAGGCAAGACAGUACCCCUAAAUGAAGUCGCUGUCACAAAUCCAAGAUAUUUACACAGGAGCUAAGGCCAACAUAUUCACUUUUUAGAGCCAGGGGAGCUUUGAGGUACUGCGAACUUAGUAAGAGUGGAGUGUCUGAAGAGUCAAAAUGUGUGACUAUCUUUUCAUUGGGUUGUUGAAACCAUUUACAUUUAAUAUAAGUAC